rnacentral:rRNA from 1 species
UACGAAGGGGGCUAGCGUUGCUCGGAAUUACUGGGCGUAAAGGGCGCGUAGGCGGACAGUUUAGUCAGAGGUGAAAGCCCAGGGCUCAACCUUGGAACUGCCUUUGAUACUGACUGUCUUGAGUUCGGGAGAGGUGAGUGGAAUGCCGAGUGUAGAGGUGAAAUUCGUAGAUAUUCGCAAGAACACCAGUGGCGAAGGCGGCUCACUGGCCCGAUACUGACGCUGAGGUGCGAAAGCGUGGGGAGCAAACAGG